rnacentral:rRNA from 1 species
UACGUAGGGUGCGAGCGUUGUCCGGAAUUAUUGGGCGUAAAGAGCUCGUAGGCGGUUUGUCGCGUCUGCCGUGAAAGUCCGGGGCUCAACUCCGGAUCUGCGGUGGGUACGGGCAGACUAGAGUGAUGUAGGGGAGACUGGAAUUCCUGGUGUAGCGGUGAAAUGCGCAGAUAUCAGGAGGAACACCGAUGGCGAAGGCAGCUCGCUGGCCUGCAUCUGACGCUGAGACGCGAAAGCGUGGGGAGCAAACAGG